rnacentral:rRNA from 1 species
UAACACGUGGAUAACCUACCUAUAAGACUGGGAUAACUUCGGGAAACCGGAGCUAAUACCGGAUAACAUAUUGAACCGCAUGGUUCAAUAGUGAAAGGCGGCUUUGCUGUCACUUAUAGAUGGAUCCGCGCCGUAUUAGCUAGUUGGUAAGGUAACGGCUUACCAAGGCAACGAUACGUAGCCGACCUGAGAGGGUGAUCGGCCACACUGGAACUGAGACACGGUCCAGACUCCUACGGGAGGCAGCAGUAGGGAAUCUUCCGCAAUGGGCGAAAGCCUGACGGAGCAACGCCGCGUGAGUGAUGAAGGUCUUCGGAUCGUAAAACUCUGUUAUCAGGGAAGAACAAAUGUGUAAGUAACUGUGCACAUCUUGACGGUACCUGAUCAGAAAGCCACGGCUAACUACGUGCCAGCAGCCGCGGUAAUACGUAGGUGGCAAGCGUUAUCCGGAAUUAUUGGGCGUAAAGCGCGCGUAGGCGGUUUUUUAAGUCUGAUGUGAAAGCCCACGGCUCAACCGUGGAGGGUCAUUGGAAACUGGAAAACUUGAGUGCAGAAGAGGAAAGUGGGAAUUCCAUGUGUAGCGGUGAAAUGCGCAGAGAUAUGGAAGGAACACCAGUGGCGAAGGCGACUUUUCUGGGUCUGUAACUGACGCUGAUGUGCGAAAGCGUGGGGAUCAA